GCUAGCGUUGCUCGGAAUUACUGGGCGUAAAGGGCGCGUAGGCGGCCAUUUAAGUUAGAGGUGAAAGCCCAGGGCUCAACCCUGGAAUAGCCUUUAAUACUGGAUGUCUUGAGUUCGGGAGAGGUGAGUGGAAUGCCGAGUGUAGAGGUGAAAUUCGUAGAUAUUCGGCGGAACACCAGUGGCGAAGGCGACUCACUGGCCCGAUACUGACGCUGAGGCGCGAAAGCGUGGGGAGCAAACAGG
rnacentral:rRNA from 1 species